UAGGGAAUAUUCCGCAAUGGGCGAAAGCCUGACGGAGCAACGCCGCGUGAGUGAAGAAGGUUUUCGGAUCGUAAAGCUCUGUCAACAGGGACGAAACAAGACGGUACCUGAGAAGGAAGCCACGGCAAACUACGUGCCAGCAGCCGCGGUAAUACGUAGGUGGCAAGCGUUGUCCGGAAUAACUGGGCGUAAAGCGCAUGUAGACGGCAUGAUAAGCCAAAUGUGAAAUGUAGGGGCUCAACCCCUGCACUGCGAUUGGAACUGUCAAGCUUGAGUGCAGGAGAGGCAAAUGGAAUUCCCAGUGUAGCAGUGAAAUGCGUAGAGAUUGGGAGGAACACCAGUGGCGAAGGCGAUUUGCUGGACUGCAACUGACGGUGAGAUGCGAAAGCCAGGGGGGCAAACG
rnacentral:rRNA from 1 species